AGAUAGAGAACAGGCUUUCUAAAUGAGAUUUAGUUCCACGAAUAUGCAGGCUAGAAAGAUGCUAUUUGCUGCUAUUCUAUCUAUUUGUGCAUCAAGUUCGAAGAAGAUCUCAAUUUAUAAUGAAGCUCUUACUAGAUAGGGCGGCAGAAUAGAAGUCUCACUACUAGCUUUUAGUCUUAAGCAGGCAGCGGCGGUCAGGAAUGAAUGUUAUACUAAACUAUCCGCCAUUUCAUUAGGACAGCACUUGCUUAGUCUUUUU
rnacentral:lncRNA from 1 species